GAUGAAGAACGCAGCGAAAUGCGAUACGUAAUGUGAAUUGCAGAAUUCAGUGAAUCAUCGAGUCUUUGAACGCACAUUGCGCCCCCUGGUAUUCCGGGGGGCAUGCCUGUCCGAGCGUCAUUGCUGCCCUCAAGCACGGCUUGUGUGUUGGGCCUCCGUCCUCCUCCCGGGGGACGGGCCCGAAAGGCAGCGGCGGCACCGCGUCCGGUCCUCGAGCGUAUGGGGCUUCGUCACCCGCUCGAUUAGGGCCGGCCGGGCGCCAGCCGGCGUCUCCAACCUUCUAUUUUACCAGGUUGACCUCGGAUCAGGUAGGGAUACCCGCUGAACUUAAGCAUAUCAAUAAGCGGAGGA
rnacentral:misc_RNA from 1 species